rnacentral:rRNA from 1 species
AGUUUGAUCAUGGCUCAGGAUGAACGCUAGCGGCAGGCCUAACACAUGCAAGUCGAGGGGCAGCGCGGGUAGCAAUACCUGGCGGCGACCGGCGCACGGGUGAGUAACGCGUAUGCAACCUGCCCGCCACAGGGGGAUAGCCCGCCGAAAGGCGGAUUAAUACCCCAUCGCCCCACGUUCCGGCAUCGGGAUGUGGGUAAAGGAGCGAUCCGGUGGCGGAUGGGCAUGCGUGCCAUUAGCUAGUUGGCGGGGUAACGGCCCACCAAGGCGACGAUGGCUAGGGGGUCUGAGAGGAUGGUCCCCCACACUGGUACUGAGACACGGACCAGACUCCUACGGGAGGCAGCAGUGAGGAAUAUUGGUCAAUGGGCGGAAGCCUGAACCAGCCAUGCCGCGUGCAGGAAGACGGCCCUACGGGUUGUAAACUGCUUUUCCGGGGGAAGAAUAAUCCCGACGUGUCGGGAGAUGCCGGUACCCCGGGAAUAAGGAUCGGCUAACUCCGUG